AUACGCAGGGUGCGAGCGUUGUCCGGAAUUACUGGGCGUAAAGAGCUCGUAGGUGGUUUGUCGCGUCGUCUGUGAAAUUCCGGGGCUUAACUCCGGGCGUGCAGGCGAUACGGGCAUAACUUGAGUACUGUAGGGGAGACUGGAAUUCCUGGUGUAGCGGUGAAAUGCGCAGAUAUCAGGAGGAACACCGGUGGCGAAGGCGGGUCUCUGGGCAGUAACUGACGCUGAGGAGCGAAAGCAUGGGUGGCGAACAGGAUUAUAUACCCUGGGAGUCCAUGCCGUAAACGGUGGGCGCUAGGUGUAGGGGUCUUCCACGACUUCUGUGCCGUAGCUAACGCAUUAAGCGCCCCGCCUGGGGAGUACGGCCGCAAGGCUAAAACUCAAAUGAAUUGACGGGG
rnacentral:rRNA from 1 species